rnacentral:rRNA from 1 species
AAUUCCGCGAAUCAUCGAGUUUUUGAACGCAUAUUGCGCCCGAGGUUUGCGCCGAGGGCACGNCUGUCUGAGCGUCAAC